GACGGAAAGACCCCGUGAACCUUUACUAUAGCUUGACACUGAACAUUGAGCCUUGAUGUGUAGGAUAGGUGGGAGGCUUUGAAGCGUGGACGCCAGUCUGCGUGGAGCCAACCUUGAAAUACCACCCUUUAAUGUUUGAUGUUCUAACGUUGGCCCCUUACCGGGGUUGCGGACAGUGUCUGGUGGGUAGUUUGACUGGGGCGGUCUCCUCCCAAAGCGUAACGGAGGAGCACGAAGGUUAGCUAAUCCUGGUCGGACAUCAGGAGGUUAGUGCAAUGGCAUAAGCUAGCUUGACUGCGAGCGUGACGGCGCGAGCAGG
rnacentral:rRNA from 1 species